GAUGCACUCAGACCACCACAUGCCCAGGUGACAGCGAGGACAUGAGGCUGGACUCUCUCUCUGUGCAUAGAAGCGUGUCGAGAAGCUUCAGAGGGUUAUGGCAAGCUCCUGCCAGGAAAGGCUGGCUUUGGUUCCAGGAGCCAGUCCCCAGAUGCCCAGAGCGAAGAGGGCAGGGUGCCUCAUCUGCUGUGCAGAGAAUACAAAUAGGGGAGCUAAGAUGGGGCCAUGUACCCUGGCAGAGUUCCAUACAUGGCUCACCCUCCCACUGGAACGCCUGAUUCCAGUUCAGCCCUUUACAAGACAUGCCAGGACCCUUUGUGUGCCAGGCUGGGCUGGGUAAGAGCAAAUCUACCUCUUGAAAACCGUAGCUGCUUCUUCAACAGACCAUCAUUGAGCCUUCGCAACAUUGCCUUAUACAUGCUUACAUGAACAGAAAUAAAUGGCUUCUGUUGAAUUUCA
ensembl:lncRNA